rnacentral:rRNA from 1 species
AAACGUAGGAGCCAAGCGUUAUCCGAAUUCACUGGGCGUAAAGCGCGUGCAGGCGGCCCGAUAAGUUGGAUGUGAAAUCUCCUGGCUCAACUGGGAGAGGCCGUUCAAUACUGUUGGGCUCGAGGGCGACAGAGGGAGGUGGAAUUCCGGGUGUAGUGGUGAAAUGCGUAGAUAUCCGGAGGAACACCAGAGGCGAAGGCGACCUCCUGGGUCGUACCUGACGCUCAGACGCGAAAGCUAGGGGAGCGAACGGGAUUAGAAACCCCGGUAGUCCUAGCCGUAAACGAUGUAGACUGGGUGUCGGCGGGGUAAAAGCCGUCGGUGCCGAAGCCAACGCGAUAAGUCUACCGCCUGGGGACUACGGCCGCAAGGUUAAA